UACGAAGGGUGCAAGCGUUACUCGGAAUUACUGGGCGUAAAGCGUGCGUAGGUGGUUUGUUAAGUCUGUUGUGAAAGCCCCGGGCUCAACCUGGGAAUGGCAAUGGAUACUGGCAAGCUAGAGUGCGGUAGAGGGUAGUGGAAUUCCCGGUGUAGCGGUGAAAUGCGUAGAGAUCGGGAGGAACACCAGUGGCGAAGGCGGCUACCUGGACCAGCACUGACACUGGAGGCACGAAAGCGUGGGGAGCAAA
rnacentral:rRNA from 1 species